GAAAUGCGAUAAGUAGUGUGAAUUGCAGAAUUCAGUGAAUCAUCGAAUCUUUGAACGCACAUUGCGCCCCUUGGUAUUCCAUGGGGCAUGCCUGUUCGAGCGUCAUUUGUACCCUCAAGCUCUGCUUGGUGUUGGGUGUUUGUCCCCGUCUCCGCGCGUGGACUCGCCCCAAAGUGAUUGGCAGCCGGCGUACUGGUCCCGGAGCGCAGCACAUGUCGCGCAAACGAGUGCCUUGGUACGGCGGCGUCCAUAAGCCCCUCUCUCACGCUCUUGACCUCGGAUCAGGUAGGUAUACCCGCUGAACUUAAGC
rnacentral:misc_RNA from 1 species